UUGAGGUUAUAUUGCAGCUGUCUGUUUUCGACCGCUCAUUCAGUAACACCUUCGUUUUCUUGGCUCUUGUAUAAGCUACAGUUGAAUUCUGGUAGAAAUGUGUUCUGUAUCUACGGAGCUCCACCAACUGAGAGAUGGAGUCAAUGAGGAAUCUCUCAUCCAAUGUUAGCAUAUGCUAAUGUGGCUAUCUCUGAAUUGCACCGUCAAAGAAGACUCAAUAUUCGCAAGGACAAUGGAAUACUUUCUUUUUGAUUUUUCACAGAGGGAAUCGUUUAGUUAUUGCUACUUACCGUAUGCAAUAUACCAGAUUAACAGUAAUGGAAGACGUAAAAAGAACUGUGAUAAUCACAUCCGGAAUACCCACAUGCGAAAUGAUGAAUUAUCAACAAAAGAAUCCACUUUCCAAUCAUCUGCACUAUUCGACGUCGUCAUCAUCAUCAUCAUCAGCAUCAACAUCAACAUUAUCGUCGAGCCUCAAUCAAUAAAUUGAUAAGCUGUAUGUUAUUCACUCCAUUUAUACAGCAGUAUGCUGACACAUUUUCUUUACAACCUGAUCUCGUGUAUUGCUCUUUGACUCCAUCUACUGGCGACAAUAAGCCUACAUUUGGACACCGAAUUCUUGAGACAGAAGCUUUCAGAAUGACAUAUUGACGUAUUCGUACAAAUUAUUUAUUUUUUCUUUCGUUUUUUAUUAUCAAAUUAAACUAAAGCAAACUAAAAUGUAUUUUGCACAAACGC